CUACGGUUGCUGCAGUGGGGAAUAUUGCACAAUGGGCGCAAGCCUGAUGCAGCCAUGCCGCGUGUAUGAAGAAGGCCUUCGGGUUGUAAAGUACUUUCAGCGGGGAGGAAGGGAAUAAAGUUAAUACCUUUGCUCAUUGACGUUACCCGCAGAAGAAGCACCGGCUAACUCCGUGCCAGCAGCCGCGGUAAUACGGAGGGUGCAAGCGUUAAUCGGAAUUACUGGGCGUAAAGCGCACGCAGGCGGUUUGUUAAGUCAGAUGUGAAAUCCCCGGGCUCAACCUGGGAACUGCAUCUGAUACUGGCAAGCUUGAGUCUCGUAGAGGGGGGUAGAAUUCCAGGUGUAGCGGUGAAAUGCGUAGAGAUCUGGAGGAAUACCGGUGGCGAAGGCGGCCCCCUGGACGAAGACUGACGCUCAGGUGCGAAAGCGUGGGGAGCAAACAGGAUUAGAUACCCUUGUAGUC
rnacentral:rRNA from 1 species